AGAUCUGCUACACACAGGGAAACUUUGAACAGGCACGGUCAUAUUUUGCCCAGGCAUUGAAACUCAAUCCCAACAAUAUCCGGGCGCUGUACGGGUGUUUCCUGUCCUCGUGUAGUUUAGCCUCCACAAGUAAGAGCAAAGAGAAACAAGCCAAUGUAAAGUAUGCUGCAUGGGCGGCCCAGCAACUCAAGGAGAAAUAUGUGACAGUGCAGUCAGAAGAAGCCACAAAACAAACCAAGAUCUUGGAAACGAUUGAUAGACUUCUAGAAUCUACAACAGAAAAAGCUUCUAAUUGAUAAAGAUUUCAGACUUUUAGAACAAAUAUAUUCAAGAAGCUUUAUAGAUAGAAAGUGAAAAAAAUGAAAAUCUCAAAUGGAUCACAUGUAAUGGAAUACAGUAUUUGAAUGUAGUGAGGGAUUCAUGGGAGAUUGGAAGGCUAUUGUUUUGGUUACUAUGGCACCGACUAGAAAUUUAAUGAUGGUACACCAGGUAAAUCUCAUUAGCAUGUACCAGUAAUUUAAAAUCUCUAGUGAAUAUUUCUUGAUGUAGUGCACAGAAAGAUCUACACCUGUAUUUCUAAUCGUCUCAUUUACAUAAUGUCGAUUAUAUUCACCAAUGUGCUUCAUGAUCAAUAUUUUGAAAAGCAAAUAUUUAUACAAGUAGUUAUUUCACUUUAAGUUUCAAAUGUCUUAUAACUUUUGUUUCCAGUCCUCAAAAAAAUUUUGAUUUAAAACAAAAAAAUCAUGUAAAAAAAAAUCAAACAAAAAUAUCUUUAGAUAAUACUCCAAAUUUUGUGGCUCCCAUUUUGGCGAAACCAUGUUGGAUAAGUCGCCUGGGGAAGACUGUUGAUAGACUCUCCCAGAACAUGAGGAUUGCCUACCUCUGUUGAUUGAACAAUAGACUUAGAUAUAUCAGCAAGAAUGUACUUUGUAUCAACACAACUGACCCUAAAAGAAGAUUAGAUGAGCAUGGUUGUAGCCCAGAGUUGACGAAGCAGCAAUCUUUUCCUCAAAAGUUUUCAAAUCAUGUGAAAUCUCACACAAGACUGAAAUAAAAGUUCCGGAGAAAUUUUCUAUGAUAAAACGACACUUGCAAAUCCAUGUACAUGUAUAUCUAAGUCUGUAAUUGAACACCUUGUCUGUACAAAGCUGCACAAUCGUUGAUAAAACAUUGAUUUCCAGUAGCCAGUACGACAAUUUAUGAUCCAAGGACAUCAGUGGUCGAAAGGAUGUAAACAAACCGUAAAAUGUCCAGAAACAGUGUAGAGAUUAGUCUCCUGUAGUGUUAUAGAACAUAAAUCUUUAUACAUUAUUCAAGUCAUAUUUCUUUAUUUUAUUCCUAUGUUAAUGUCAUUAUUUUAUUGUGUGCAUCCUUUGUUAAAAAUAAUGUACAAAGCAAGAGUGAGAACUGAUACAGGAGAAUGAUGAUUACUGGGCGAUGGUAUGUGGUAUAUAAUGAGAUAUCUCCUGACGAUUACACGGAGAUGGUAUGUGGUCUAUAAUGAGAUAUCUGACGAUUACACGGAGAUGGUGUGUGGUAUAUAAUGAGAUAUCUGACGAUUACAGGGAGAUGGUAUGUGGUAUAUAAUGAGAUAUCUCCUGACGAUUACAGGGAGAUGGUGUGUGGUAUAUAACGAGAUAUCUCCUGACGAUUACAGGGAGAUGGUGUGUGGUAUAUAAUGAGAUAUCUCCUGACGAUGACAGGGAGAUGGUAUGUGGUAUAUAAUGAGCUAUCUCCUGACGAUGACAGGGAGAUGGUAUGUGGUAUAUAAUGAGAUAUCUCCUGACGAUUACAGGGAGAUGGUAUGUGGUAUAUAAUGAGAUAUCUCCUGAUAAUUACAGGGAGAUAGUAUGUGGUAUAUAAUGAGAUAUCUCCUGACGAUUACAGGGAGAUGGUAGGUGGUAUAUAAUGAGAUAUCUCCUGACGAUUACAGGGAGAUGGUAUGUGGUAUAUAAUGAGAUAUCUCCUGACGAUUACAGGGAGAUGGCAUGUGGUAUAUAAUGAGAUAUCUCCUGACGAUCACAGGGAGAUGGUAUGUGGUAUAUAAUGAGAUAUCUCCUGACGAUUACAGGGAGAUGGUGUGUGGUAUAUAAUGAGAUAUCUCCUGACGAUUACAGGGAGAUGGUAGGUGGUAUAUAAUGAGAUAUCUCCUGACGAUUACAGGGAGAUGGUGUGUGGUAUAUAAUGAGAUAUCUCCUGACGAUUACACGGAGAUGGUAUGUGGUAUAUAAUGAGAUAUCUCCUGACGAUUACAGGGAGAUGGUGUGUGGUAUAUAAUGAGAUAUCUCCUGACGAUUACAGGGAGAUGGUAUGUGGUAUAUAAUGAGCUAAUCUGUGUGUAAGUAAAACAUCAUUUCUCGGAUCUAUAAUGAUUAAUUCCAAAGACCCAUUGUUGAAGAAUUUGAAGAUUCAAAGACGUCCUUGGUGCUUUCCUUAAACAAAAUAUUUGUAUUAUUUGAGUUCACAUUAGAAAGCCUUGCAAGUUUUUUUUUGUUUUUUGUUUUCUCCAUUUUUCUUUGGUAAAAUACUGCAUUCCAGAAUGUGAUAUAUAUAAAAUGGUUGGCUUCUAGUUAAGACUUUUGUUGUGUUAGCAUUUUCAAUACCAGUAUAUCAUUUUUGUCUAUUUUGGUGAUGGAUUUUGUUAUUCUAACCUUAUGCAUGACACUUCAGCUUCAAUUCAUUAUCAUUUUAAUCACAAAUGGAAUACAUUACCCCCUUUUUUUCUCAAAAAUGUAUUGUCAUUUUUUUCUUAACCUAAUAAGUUUCAAAAAAAAUUCAGGGUAAAAUUUGUUUAUUUAGUAUACUGCAGUAUGUAUAAGAAGGUGAUGAGUAAUCUACAAUGUCUCAAUUUUAUAAAACUAUAAUGAAACCUAAAACUUUGGCAGGAUUGAGUCAUGCAUCUUCAAAUCUGAUUAGGAGAUGGGAAGGGUCCAAUGAAAUGUUUUCCAUGUUUUUGAUUAGAAAAAAUAUUAUAAAAAAAAUUAUUAUAUACACACCGGGUACUGGAGAUUGUGAUUAGUUGUAAUUGAUUCCCAUAAGAUUUAUGUAACCAAGAAUGUGAUUGAAUGGUGAUAAAUAGCUCCUUAAGAAAUGGCUCAACCUUCUUGAUUGUCUUAAUAAUUAAAUCAACCCACAUUGGAUUAGUUUCCAUUUCUACAUCACUUAAUUUUGUUUGUAGAACUUUUUUUUUCUGUGCUGGAGGAGGGUAAGAAUGUUGUUUGUGUGUGUGCGUGUAUCUAUUUAUAUACAUCUUUAUGUAACAGUGAUUGUGAUUGGUUUAUCCUUGUGAGGUGUAAAGAAUGAAUAUUUUGAUUGGUUUAUCCUUGUGAGAACUCUGAAAAGAUGCAAUAAUCAAAAAAACAAAGUAA